rnacentral:tRNA from 1 species
AGAAAAAUAAGCUAAUUUAAGCUAAUGGGUUCAUACCUCAUCAAUGGACAAAGUCCUUUUUCUA